CCUACGGGUGGCAGCAGUGGGGAAUAUUGCACAAUGGGGGAAACCCUGAUGCAGCGACGCCGCGUGGGUGACGAAGUAUUUCGGUAUGUAAAGCCCUAUCAGCAGGGAAGAAGAUGACAGUACCUGACUAAUAAGCUCCGGCUAACUACGUGCCAGCAGGCGCGGUAAUACGGAGGGGGCAAGCGUUAUCCGGAUUUACUGGGUGUAAAGGGAGCGUAGGUGGCAUGGCAAGCCAGAAGUGAAAACCCUGUGCUUAACCCAGCGGAUUGCGUUUGGAACUGGUAGGCUGGAGUGCAGGAGGGGCAGGCGGAAUGCGUGGUGUAGCGGUGAAAUGCGUAGAUAUCAGGAGGAACACCGGUGGCGAAGGCGGCCUGCUGGACUGUAACUGACACUGAGGCUCGAAAGCGUGGGGAGCAAACAGGAUUAGAUACCCCUGUAGUC
rnacentral:rRNA from 1 species